rnacentral:misc_RNA from 1 species
GGACUACAAGGGUAUCUAAUCCUGUUUGCUCCCCACGCUUUCGCGCUUUAGCGUCAGUAUCUGUCCAGUGAGCUGACUUCUCCAUCGGCAUUCCUACAAAUAUCUACGAAUUUCACCUCUACACUUGUAGUUCCGCCCACCUCUCCAGUACUCUAGAAAAACAGUUUCCAACGCAAUACGGAGUUGAGCCCCGCAUUUUAACAUCAGACUUAUUUUUCCGCCUAGACGCGCUUUACGCCCAAUAAAUCCGGAUAACGCUUGCGACAUACGUAUUACCGCGGCUGCUGGCACGUAUUUAGCCGUCGCUUCUUCUGUUGGUACCGUCACUUUCUUCUUCCCAACUGAAAGCACUUUACAAUCCGAAGACCUUCAUCGUGCACACAGAAUUGCUGGAUCAGGC